GACUUAAAAUCCGUUGGCUUUUUAGACCGUGAGGGUUCAAGUCCCUCUACCCCUA
rnacentral:tRNA from 2 species